UACGUAGGGGGCAAGCGUUAUCCGGAUUUACUGGGUGUAAAGGGAGCGUAGACGGCUGUGCAAGUCUGAAGUGAAAGGCAAGGGCUCAACCUUUGGACUGCUUUGGAAACUGUGCAGCUAGAGUGUCGGAGAGGCAAGUGGAAUUCCUAGUCUAGCGGUGAAAUGCGUAGAUAUUAGGAGGAACACCAGUGGCGAAGGCGGCUUGCUGGACGAUGACUGACGUUGAGGCUCGAAAGCGUGGGGAGCAAACAGG
rnacentral:rRNA from 1 species